rnacentral:rRNA from 1 species
UACGAAGGGGGCUAGCGUUGCUCGGAAUCACUGGGCGUAAAGGGCGCGUAGGCGGCCAUUCAAGUCAGAGGUGAAAGCCCAAGGCUCAACCUUGGAACUGCCUUUGAAUACUGUUUGGCUUGAGACCGGUAGAGGUAAGUGGAACUGCGAGUGUAGAGGUGAAAUUCGUAGAUAUUCGCAAGAACACCAGUGGCGAAGGCGGCUUACUGGACCGGUUCUGACGCUGAGGCGCGAAAGCGUGGGGAGCAAACAGGG